CAUUCUCGUCGAUGGCGUUAGCUUAAGUUUACAUUAGCUCCAAGUUUAAGAAACUGAUGUAUGUGGUUAAUUUUUUCGGUCGUUGCUACCAAGUCUACUUUGGUCGUUAUUUCGACAACUAUCACGUGAAGAGUAGGUGUUCUGUGUUCUAGAGAGAACGUUCUCAGAUAUAUGGAAAAAUGCUCUUUCAAUUGCUCUUGGUCGUUAAAUUGAGAAGAUAUAUUUUCUCCAGAAGCAAAAUUCUGUCGCAAACAAUAUUUGAAAAGCCUUUGUACUCUAAAUCGGAGGGAGAAUCAAACAUUUCUGUCAACGUUUCAAGGAGUUCAUCGACAUCAACGAAAUCUUGAUGAUGUUGAUCUUGAUUAUGUUGAUCUUGAUAAUGUUGAUCUUGAUUAUCGUCAUCUUGUACAUCAUCGUCAUCUUGUAAAUCAUGGUCAAAUUCGAUGGCCAGGAGAUUGGCGUAGGAGGAAAAUUCUUCUCUUCUUUGAUAUCCAGGUGGUUUGUUCCGGCGAAAUUAUGUUUGUGUCGAUUUAUCGCAAUCUGGCAACACUCUUUUCCAUUUCUUUCCCGCUAUCAGAAAUACGCCCUAUUAUUCGUCUGCCUCUCGUUUCUAUGUCAGGUUGUCAGAGUUUUGAGUUCUUCUAAAUCACCGGCAUUUACGUUUCUUUCUGUGAUUUUAUUCUUUUUUCUGUCUAACAGAGCUCAACUGUCUUGAGAUAUUCUGCAUUCUGUCAGUUUAUUCCACUGUGUGAUUCGUUCUAUGGUCUACAAAGCUUGCAAGCCACUUAUGUUUUGUCCUUGCUUCACAGGCACCAUCGUUAUUUCUCAUAGUCAUACUGCCAUUCUGGCAGGAAAAAUCUUUACUCGCAAUACAUUGAAGAGAAAAACCCACUGCCGGCCAAAGCUCUAAUUUAGCUCCUGAACAGUUUGCCAACAAAGCCAAAAAGCGAGACGCAAACCCAAGGGAUUACAAACUGUUUACUCUAGUCCUGGCGUUAUAAUGCUGUAUCCUCCUGUACUGUACUGUCGUACUUUCUCCUCCUUGGUUAGAAAAUAUCAUGUCUAAACGCUUCAAUACGUUGCCCAAGUUGGAAGUCGAGAGUCAUGGUAUCAAUGCUGUACAGGUAAUCAAGAUACAGCAUUGCUAAAGAGUAAUAAAUGUGUAAUGUUAAGUAUACCGAAUAACAAAUGUUGGGACAUAUAAUUACAACAAACUCAACUAAA